CCUACGGGUGGCUGCAGUGGGGAAUAUUGGACAAUGGGGGGAACCCUGAACCAGCCAUGCCGCGUGUGUGAAGAAGGCCCUCGGGUUGUAAAGCACUUUCAGUGAGGAAGAACGCCUGGUGGUUAAUACCCAUCAGGAAAGACAUCACUCACAGAAGAAGCACCGGCUAACUCCGUGCCAGCAGCCGCGGUAAUACGGAGGGUGCGAGCGUUAAUCGGAAUUACUGGGCGUAAAGCGCGCGUAGGUGGCUUGAUAAGCCGGUUGUGAAAGCCCCGGGCUCAACCUGGGAACGGCAUCCGGAACUGUCAAGCUAGAGUGCAGGAGAGGAAGGUAGAAUUCCCGGUGUAGCGGUGAAAUGCGUAGAGAUCGGGAGGAAUACCAGUGGCGAAGGCGGCCUUCUGGACUGACACUGACACUGAGGUGCGAAAGCGUGGGUAGCAAACAGGAUUAGAUACCCGUGUAGUC
rnacentral:rRNA from 1 species